rnacentral:lncRNA from 1 species
UUAAUGCAUGCUUAUUUUUUAGGAUGAUUUGAGGAAAACAUCCAAUUAUAGGCCAUGAUUUUGGACCUGGAGGAAAUGGUUUAUUGUUUCUUACACUAGUAUACUAUUCCAUUUCUUAUUAAGAAUAAUAGAAAUGAAUAUUGUCAAUAGAAUAGAAAUUAUAAUGAAGAAUGUAGUGUUACUGGAGAUAAUCAUAAGAAGAAGGUUUGACAUUUUCAUCAUU